rnacentral:rRNA from 1 species
UACGUAGGGCGCAAGCGUUAUCCGGAAUUAUUGGGCGUAAAGAGCUCGUAGGCGGUUUGUCGCGUCUGCCGUGAAAGUCCGGGGCUCAACUCCGGAUCUGCGGUGGGUACGGGCAGACUAGAGUGAUGUAGGGGAGACUGGAAUUCCUGGGUGUAGCGGUGAAAUGCGCAGAUAAUCAGGAGGAACACCGAUGGCGAAGGCAGGUCUCUGGGCAUUAACUGACGCUGAGGAGCGAAGGCGUGGGGAGCGAACGGG